UACCUCUGUUGUAACUUUGACUGUCAGUCAUUCAGUUCGAAGUGAAAACACACAGAAAACUGUACCGUUAAGUGGUGUUGUCUCCUAUGCAUGGAUCAACCUGGAUGGAGGGCGAUGGAUCGGGGACGUAGCGGCAGUGGCCAGGUCUGGUGUAGUUGACAGUUAUCUUCAGUUCAGGCCUUGAAAUCUCAAUAUUUGAACGACCAGAAUCUUCCUUUCAGUUGAGUGCAUGAUAUUACUUUGGAAGCAAACUGCAACUUUCUUGAGGUGCCCAAUACUAAACUGGGAGGUGCUGGGAGGCUGAUGCUUAACUACAUCGGGAUGAAACUGAUAUCGAGGUGAGUAGACACAUGCUUGCCUACUUUAUUCUUUUAGUAUGAAUUGAUUAGCAUUUCAUAGAAACAUGAUGUAUGUGAUAUAUUUGAAUCAACAAGCUAUGCGAUUUUUUUCAUUACGCAAUACAAAAGUAUGUUGCUACACCUUAUUUUCAAGGAAUACAGAAAUAUAUUGCUAUACCUUAUUUUCAGCAGUUAUAAAAUAUGUAUUCAAUUUAAUAGUUUUGAUAGAAUGCUCAUGUCAAGUUGCUAAUGUGGUUGGACAGAGAAAAAAUAUAUUGAAUUCAGUUGUUUUCAAUAGGCAGUGUGAUUUAUUAUUAAUUAGGAAAUACAGAAAAAAUGUGUGUAGGUAUCUUGAUUCUCUUAGAUGCCACUCCUGGUCAUGUCAUUUUUAACAUUACUGAACUUUUUAGAGUUCUGUUUCGACUGUAUUUUAGAGAGAACAUGCAAACUGAAGAAGUAGAGCGAUCCUCAGUUUUUUAUAUAGGUUACUUAUUGGGUUAAAAAAUUCCUCCAUUACGAAUUUUCUUCACCAACAAAUAUAAACGUAUACCUAUCUAAACUCACACUACACUCUGUAAUGACCUGCUAGUGAUGCCUAAUACCUCAAUUUUCAUUUUACACCACCCAGAUAUUCAUUUUUGGGGGGAUCUUUUUGUGGUGAUGAUAGCUACCCUUGGUAUUGGAGAAGACCGAGGAGGAUAGAUAGUCAAUGGUGCAGGCUGCAUGACUUGGCCGAAGGUUGGCGCAAGUAUUCAUGGGGCCAGAGAAACGGGAGUUGGAACUUCCGAAAAAUGCUUUUAACUGACAUCUGUUGUAGCUCCACAAGCUUAAAAUGAGAGUAGGGUUGUGCAAAACAUCGUCACAUAUUUUGAUUUAUUGUCAGUUCCUUUCAUGAUUAAAAAAAUUGUAUGCCCCUUACAACACUUUUUAUGAUAUACUUCUUGGCGAAGUAUCAGGUGAAAAUGACUAUUCGGUGAAAAUCUAAAAAUUUCUAUCGUGGACUGUUGGAUCAGGAGGGGGCGUCAUGGAUUACAG
rnacentral:lncRNA from 1 species